UUGCUAAAAGAAUUCAGGAAAUUAAUGUAAUUCAUGUUUUCCUGAAAAUGGUUAAUAUACAUUUGUUAGUUGACUUUAAGUGCAGAGCUUAAGCAGUUUUGGCUUUCUUUUUUCAUAAUGCUUGGAGAAGCUUUAGAUGCUUGUUUUGCCUUUAUUUGUUUAAAGCAAUAUAUUUGACUAGCAGCCAGUGUGUGGAGGUCAAAAUAUGUUCAAGACAAUAAAAAUGUCAGUGAAGGACAUCUGAGAUUUUGUUGCAGUGGUUUUCUGAUGCAUGUGUUUAAGGUUUAAGGCUGGUGACACAGCUAAGACCCGAGAGUCUCUUUCAAGGUUAGUUAUGUAAACAGAUUCUAGAAGAUAUUUUACACAUUUCUCUGUUGUCUCUAAAUCUUAUUUAGUCUUUAUUAUGAUUAAAAAGGUUUGUUUUGUUCCUGCCCUUUUCAGACACUGAAUUUGAGCAGAAACCAUAAGGAUACUCAAAGGACCUGUGACUCUCAGGAAAUGCAUCAAAUGAGAGUGACAGGUGAAACAGUUUCAAGACAAUGGCAGGAAAAGCAUGCUGAAGAUUGAAUCAAACCUUGGCUGGAAAUAUUUGAAGGGAUCUAGCCAGUCCACAAUGAAAGCUUCGUUGCCCCCCUGUGAGUCUUCUGGCAGAAAUGAUGGCGCCUGUAUUCUUUGGUUUCCCUAAACAUCACACCCUGUUUAUACGAGGCUCUUCAAUUAAGUCUGCACCCAAAGAUUCAAUAAGAGGUAAGCAGUGGUAUUAUUCAAGUUUUGCAAAAGAAAGAUGGACAGGAGACACUAAUCUUAAUCAGCCGAGCUCAGGUUCAUGUCCAGGUGAGCAGUUUCAUACGAUGAAGGAAACUGACGCUAUAAAAUGUAGAUUGAAUGAUAGGUCUCAUCACCAUGCAUUCAGUCAUUAA